rnacentral:misc_RNA from 1 species
AUAGAGGUAGAUAGAGAUAUG